rnacentral:pre_miRNA from 1 species
UGACAGAUUUGAAGUCAUUCAACAGGAGAAUCCACGGGAUCCGAGUCAUGAAUUUGAAAAUAAUGACUCGGAUCCCGUGGAUCUUCCCGUUGAAUGACUUCAAAUCUGUCA